GAUGAUAGCAUUGGCUCACCUGGGUUUAAAGCUGUUUACCAAGGUAUGAUGAGAAUACACUUCAGAGGGUUGGAAGUUAGCAUUCCAACAGAGGGCAGAGACCAUUCUGUGUUGGUUAGGUAGAAGUAAAAUCAACAAGUCAAACAAUGCUGAUAAAUAGGAAUCAUCAUGGGAACUUCCUUAAAGUCUACUAACACUCGCUUUUGUGAAUGAGAAUGUUUAACUUCUGAAAACUCGGCCUGCCGUGAUAUGUGCUCUGAUUAUCCCAAAAUAAAGAGUGAGGUGAAGUAUUAGGUGUAAGCCAGGAAAUGUGGGCAUAUGUGGGGAUCUUUUGACCAUAUCAUAUUGCCUGGUGUUUCUCAAAACCUUCUUUUAUGUGAGCAAACAUAGAAAAGACAAUAUAAUGAAUCUGAAAAGACUUACAAUUAUAAAUUUUUAUGAGCCAAAUUCAAAUAUUUGAAAUGAAAGCCCUGUGCCUGUCAUUGUUUUUGAGCUAGUUUACAACUUUACAAGUUAUAGAAAACUGAUAGCAAUGCAAACAAUUUCUGAACCAUUGAAAUGCAAAUGAAUUUCCUGUGAAAGAGAUCCCAUUAAUUAUUGUCCUGUGGAUAUUGAUUACUUUUAAAUGGAUUAGCAAAUUUAUUUCAGUAUUUCUGAUUGUCUCCACAUGACCUGCAUUUGCUGCUGCCUUUGGUAGAAUCUAAAAUCAUCAGUGAAAUACCAGACACUUCCCGACAGGGCAAAUUGCAGUAAAUUCAUCUCAGCAGCAUGGAGAUACACAUCAUGAGGUUUAUGGUACCAGGAAUAGGAGAGGAGCCUCGUGCCCAAACUGCAUCCUUGACUAUGAAGAGACAUAAGUAGUCCCAAUAAAAGGUAAACAUUCUUCUAUGUGUCAUAUUUCACAGUGAAUGACCACACCACAUUAAUUAUAAUUCCAUUUUACCCUAAAAUUCAAUGUCAUGUGUUAUCUUUGACAAAAGAAUAGUCCAAAGGCAAAAAGGUAAUUAAAACCAGUAACUAAUACAACAUUUGAGGAUUUUUAAAAAUUAAGAGAUUAUAACAGUAGAAGACAUUCUAAAAAUGCAUAUUUCCAGAGUACUAUAUUAAGCUAACAGUUGAAGACAAAGUGCAAAUCACUUAUAAAAGUGACCUUUAUGCAUAUACAUAAUUUUAUAUUAUUUGACUCAAAGCAUAGUUGUUCAUAAAUUAUAUUAUCAGAAAACAGCCCGGGCAGGGGCGCUGACACCUGUAAUCAUAGUGCUUUGGGAGACCAAGGCAGGCGGAUCACUUAAGGUCAGGAGUUCCCGACCAGCCUGGCCAACAUGGUGAAAGCCCUAUCUCUCUUCAAAAUACAAAAAAAAAAAAAAAAAAAAAAAUUAGCUGUUUGUGGAGGGUGGGCACCUGUAAUCCCAGAUACACAGGAGGCUGAGGCAGAAGAAUCGCUUGAACUCGGGUAGUGGAGCUUGCAGUGAGCCAAGAUCGUGCCACUGCACUCCAGCCUAGGCAACAGAGUGAGAGUCCAUCUUAAAAAAAGAAAA
rnacentral:lncRNA from 1 species